rnacentral:tRNA from 1 species
GCUGGCGUGGUGGAAUUGGCAGACACGCUGUCUUGAGGGGGCAGUGGGCACGCGCCCGUGGGGGUUCGAGUCCCCCCGCCAGCACCA